CCUAGUGCCAGAAGGUUAAGGAAGUUGGUGACCUGAUGAUGAGGAAGCCAGCGACCGAAGCCCCAGUGAACGGCGGCCGUAACUAUAACGGUCUUAAGGUAGCGAAAUUCCUUGUUGGGUAAGUUUUGACCCGCACGAAAGGCGUAAUGAUCUGGGAACUAUCUCGGAGAGAGACUUGGUGAAAUAGACAUCUCUGUGAAGAUGCGGACUACCUGUACCUAUAUAGAAAGACCCUAUGAAGCUUUACUAUUCCCUGGGAUUGUCUUUGGGUUCUUCUUGCGCAGCUUAGGUGGAAGGUGAAGAAGGCUCCCUCUCAGGGGGGCUUGAGCCACCAGUGAGAUAGCACUCUGGAAGAGCUAGAAUUCUAACCUUGUGUCAGGACCUACGGGCCAAGGGACAGUCUCAGGUAGACAAUAUCUAUGGGGCGUAGGCCUCCCAAAAGGUAACGGAGGUGUGCAAAGGUUUCCUCGGGCUGGACGGAAAUCGACCCUCGAGUGCAAAGGUAGAAGGGAGAUUGACUGCAAGACCCACCCAUUGAGCAGGGACGAAAGUCAGCCUUAGUGAUCCGACAGUGCUGAGUGGAAGGGCCGUCUCUCAAUGGAUAAAAUUUACUAUAGGGAUAACAGGUUGAUCUUCCCCAAGAGUUCUCAUCGAAGGGAAGGUUUGACACCUCGAUGUCGGCUCUUCGCCACCUGGGGCAGUAGUAUGUUCCAAGGGUUGGGUUGUUCGCCCAUUAAAGCGGUACAUGAGUUGGGUUCAGAACGUCGUGAGAUAGUUCGGUCCAUAUCCGGUGUGGGCGUUAUAGCAUUGAGAGGACCUUUCCCUAGUAUGAGGGGACCGCAAAGGACGCACCUCUGGUGUACCAGUUAUCGUGCCCAUGGUAGACGUUGGGUAGCCAAGUGCAGAGUGGAUAACUACUGAAAGCAUAUAAGUAGGAAGCCCACCCCAAGAUGAGUGCUCUCCUAUUCUUACUUCCCUAAGAGCCCUAGUCAUGAACACAGUUGGGACAAUGACGGGUUCUCUGUCCUUGUAGGGGAUGGAGCAACAAAAGUAUUGAGAAUCCAAGAUAAGGUCACGGCGAGACGAGUCAUUUAUCAUUACGAUAGGUGUCAAGUGGAAGUGUAGUGAUGUAUGCAGCUGAGGUAUCUUAACAGACCGAGAGAUUUGAACCU
rnacentral:ncRNA from 1 species